GAUGAACGCUGGCGGCGUGCCUAAUACAUGCGAGUCGAGCGAACGGACGAGAAGCUUGCUUCUCUGAUGUUAGCGGCGGACGGGUGAGUAACACGUGGAUAACCUACCUAUAAGACUGGGAUAACUUCGGGAAACCGGAGCUAAUACCGGAUAAUAUUUUGAACCGCAUGGUUCAAAAGUGAAAGACGGUCUUGCUGUCACUUAUAGAUGGAUCCGCGCUGCAUUAGCUAGUUGGUAAGGUAACGGCUUACCAAGGCAACGAUGCAUAGCCGACCUGAGAGGGUGAUCGGCCACACUGGAACUGAGACACGGUCCAGACUCCUGCGGGAGGCAGCAGUAGGGAAUCUUCCGCAAUGGGCGAAAGCCUGACGGAGCAACGCCGCGUGAGUGAUGAAGGUCUUCGGAUCGUAAAACUCUGUUAUUAGGGAAGAACAUAUGUGUAAGUAACUGUGCACAUCUUGACGGUACCUAAUCAGAAAGCCACGGCUAACUACGUG
rnacentral:rRNA from 1 species